rnacentral:rRNA from 1 species
UACGGAGGGUGCAAACGUUGCUCGGAAUCAUUGGGCGUAAAGCGCACGUAGGCGGCCUGUUAAGUCGGGUGUGAAAGCCCUGGGCUCAACCCAGGAAGUGCACUCGAAACUGGCGGGCUUGAGUACGAAAGAGGGUCGCGGAAUUCCCGGUGUAGAGGUGAAAUUCGUAGAUAUUCGGAAGAACACCAGUGGCGAAGGCGGCUCACUGGACCGGUAUUGACGCUGAGGUGCGAAAGCGUGGGGAGCAAACAGG